rnacentral:tRNA from 1 species
GGAAAGAUGCCAGAGUGGUCGAAUGGGCCGCACUCGAAAUGCGGUGAACGGGUAACUGUUCCGGGGGUUCGAAUCCCUCUCUUUCCGCCA